GCACUUCCGGAGUGAGGCAAUGCCUCGCCCUGCUUCGGCUCGCGCACGGUGCGCGCACCCACUGGCCUGCGCCCACUGUCUGGCACUCCCUAGUGAGAUGAACCCGGUACCUCAGAUGGAAAUGCAGAAAUCACCCGUCUUCUGCGUCGCUCACGCUGGGAGCUGUAGAGCGGAGCUGUUCCUAUUCGGCCAUCUUGGCUCCUCCGGCUUACAUUCUUGAAGUCAUUAAAGAAGCAACCCAUGGCAAAACUAGUUAUUUUCUUAAAACAGUAGGAAGAAGAAAAGCUUUUUGAAUGAAUCACUUCUCAUCUUCUCCGAAGUUGGAAGCAUCAAGAAUCUAAAUAAGCAUUUAUGAUGGCUGGCAUGAAUAUGUCUAUAGGUCCACUGAUACGGCUUUGCUACUCUACCCCGACACCCUGAGGACUAAUCUAUUAAUAGUAUGUACUUCUUAUAAUGAUGAGUGAGGCACAAAAGAGGAAGCAGAAACGCGGAAGAUAGAAUGGGAGUCCUAGUUGACCUUCAUAUAAUUUUUAGAAGAUGGAGCACUUCAACUUCUUCCACUCAUGAAAAGAGAGGUGACAGGUGAAGACAGAACAAGAAAACAAACCAAGAAUUUCCCCUCACCAGCCACCAGCUCUGCCAGCAACUUGAUCUUAGACUUCCCAGCCUCCGUAACGCCUCUGCUUAUAAUCUGUCAUGGAUUGGAAAACUAGAAAAAACAGUUUACAGAGUAUAACAAACUUUGGAGGAGUUAAUCGACUCUAAGUAAAAGAGUAUCUAGCACGGCUGUGGAACAAAGGAGAGACUCACAAACUGUUGAAAGAAUAAAUGAAUGAAUGAAUUCUGUUCAUGAGCUUUAAUAAAACAGCUCUGAGUAGUAACAGUGGAUCAAAUUUAGGCUUCUUGAUGCAGGCAUGGUGUAGAUUACUACUUCUGUAUUGUCCCAGGAGCUCAGCACAUUCCUGCAGAGAUGAUAGGAGCUCAUCUGAUACUUGUCAGCUUUGAAUAAACUCCAGUCCCCAAGAGAGAGAAUGAGAAUCACCGGAAUACGAAACUUCCCUGUUGGACUUCCCAACAUUCUUGAAUGCACCAAGAUAGCCUCUUGCUGUGAGAUUAAUAAAUGAAUAAAUGCCUCCAUAUUUUUCAAAUCUGUGAAGUUAACAACAUGUAGAUUUUUUUGCAUAUUUAAAAACUGCAACUAAAUCUUAAUGCCUCUGAAGCAGAUGGAAGAAAAUAAUAGGCUUCCAUUAACUGUGUCAAAUUGUAUAGGUCUUGGCCAUCACUGGUCCUGUUGUGAUGAAGGUUUUUUGCCCUUGGAUAUAAUUUAAUUUUCAAUUCUUCUAAUUAUGGUACUUCAGAACAUCAAUAUUUGAGAUGAACUUCUCUAGUGUCAAGGACUGAUUUGAGUUGUGUAAACCCUGAAUAUCUGAGACAGGUCUCGAUUAUUUUAGAAAGUUUAUUUUGCCAAGGUUGAGGAUGUGUGCCUGUGACACGGCCUCGGGAGGUCCUGAGGACAUGUGCUCAAGGUGGUCAGAGCACAGCUUUGCUUUAUACAUUUUAGAGAGACAUGAGACAUCAACCGACAUAUGUAAGAUGAACAUUGGUUCCAUCUGGAAAGGCGAGACAACUUCAAACGAGGAGGGGGCUUCCAGGUCAUAGGUAGAUAAGAGACAAAUGGCUGCAUUCUUUUGAGUUUCUGAUUAGCCUUUCCAAAGGAGGCAAUUAGAGUGAGCAAAAUGAACAAAAUCAAUUAUUUUGAUUCUGAACAAAAUGGGAGGCUGGUUUUCCCUAAGCAGUUCCCAGCUUGACUUUUCCCUUUAGCUGAGGGAUUUGGGGGGCCCAAGAUUUAUUUUUCUUUCACCGUUGUAUCAAACUACACAGGCGGCCUUGGAAACCAUCACAGUUGAGAGUAGGUAACGCCCAUUUGUUGCAUAGUUUUGUGCUCCACACUCUUAUCUACAAAAUUAUGAAUUUUUUUACAUAUAUUAAUUUCAGAAAAACUAAAAAUAAAACAAAGUAGUUUCAAACUAGUAUUGUUUUUAUAUCUUAAAAAUAAAGCUUUAUAUACUCUCCUUAC
rnacentral:lncRNA from 1 species